UUACAUUCAGUACAGUUUUUAAAGUAUUAAGGUUCAAACAAAAAUUCAGUUACAUACUGAAAUUUGUAAUAUAUAAACACAUUCAGAAUGAUAAAAGUUGUGAAUCAUAUUAUUAACUAAAUAUAGUGCCAGCAGUUGCGGUUACACUAUUAAUUUUAUUUUACAUAUAUAAUCUUACAUUGUUUUUUUUUAAAAAAAGUUAAAUAUUAAGUGAAAUUUUAUUUUUCAUUUAAAGGAAUAAUUAUAUUGGAAAAAUUAAAAAUUUAAAUUAGGAUUAGAUACCCUACUAUAUUUUAAUAAUCUUUAGGUAGUAUAUUUAUUUUUAGAAACCUAUGUAGUUUGGCGGCAUUUUAUCAAUCUAGAGGAACCUGUCUUUUAAUCGAUACUCCACGAUAAUUUUCACUUUUAUUAAUAUUUUAUAUACCUCCAUCUAAAGAGUUAAUGCCGAUAUUUUUCUCUAAAUUGAAUCAAUUAAGUUAGGUAAAGGUGUAGAUUAUAUAAAAGAUAAGAUGGGUUACAAUAAAUAUUAUUUAAGGCUAUAAAAUUAAAUUUAUUAUUAAAAAAGGAUUUAUUAGUAAUAUUAGAAUAUUAUUUUAAUUUGAAAUUGAUAAUAAAUGUGCACAUAUCGCCCGUCACCCUUAUCUAAAGAUAAGGUAAGUCGUAACACAGUUGAUGUUUUGGAAAAAGCAUCAAG
rnacentral:ncRNA from 1 species